ensembl:snRNA U6 U6 spliceosomal RNA
UCUCCAACCUGGGGAGGGCAAUAAAAUAAAUCAAAUCAAGUUUCUAUCUGCACCAGCAUGGCCCCUGCGCAAGGAUGACAUGCAACUUCGUGAAGCAUUCCAUAUUUUU